rnacentral:tRNA from 1 species
AUUUAUAUAGUUUAAGAAAAACCUUACAUUUUCAUUGUAAAAUUAAAAUUAUAUUUUAUAAAUAU